GUAGGUGAACCUGCGGAAGGAUCAUUAAAGAGACGUUGCCCUUCGGGGUAUACCUCCCACCCAUUGUUUAUUAUACCUUUGUUGCUUUGGCAGACCCGGCUUCGGCCCACCGGCUCCGGCUGGUCAGUGUCUGCCAGAGGACCUAAAACUCUGUUUGUUAAUAUUGUCUGAGUACUAUAUAAUAGUUAAAACUUUCAACAACGGAUCUCUUGGUUCUGGCAUCGAUGAAGAACGCAGCAUCUGACUGACU
rnacentral:misc_RNA from 1 species